UUUACAACUCGUGUAUUAUAGUAAACUAUUUUUAUAACAACGUAAAAAAUUAAAAACAAUGCAAUUGUAGUAUGUGUUUUAUUUAACAUAAGAUAGAAAUAAUCUAUGUUUUUUAGUAUCAAGCGCGAAGAGAAAGCAUAAUUGAGACGUUAAGAUGCUACAAGAGAACUAUCCGAUUGUUAAGAGGAGCUCACGUAAAAUAAUUGAAAUGCAAUGGAAUCAAGAGCUUGGCGCGAGCUGUAUUUUACAUGAGUAGAAGAAGAGUUUGGGUAUCACCAAAUCGGACACUUCCGACUAGAGCACUCUUAUAUGUUUGUAUUGGCAAAUAAAACUCAAAGUCGACUAUUCUUAGCUAGUAUUUUAAUAUAAUUUCUAUUUAUGUUUACAUUGUUUUGUACACUUCAACCUUCAGCCAAUAAAUUGUGGGAAUAUUUUAU